GCUGUGUGCACGCUGCUUGGAACCAGAAGCAGCACCUUCCUGACGGCGCCUCAGCAGAUGUCUGUAGCAGCAUGUGCUACCUUCCCAAAAGUAUCUCCAGUGAAGGGCGCUUGGGCAGGCACACAAACAACCACCCAGACUAGCCAUGGACAGCAGGGAGGCUGGCAAGUGAAAGGCGGAAAGGGUCUUCUGUAUAGAGUUGCAAUGGGGUUUAUUGCAGCCACACACUGAAAGGGUCUAGGGAUAGAAGACCUAGGAUAGUGGAGGGUCUAGGUUUAAGUAUCGGGUAAGAGGGGGUAGAGUAGAGCAUUGGGGUCCAAUAAUCUGAGGGAUGAUGCAUAGGCAGGGCAAAGGGUAACAACUAAUAUAGAAUUCCAGGGUGGAUAUGCAGGGAUACAUGGACCAAUGGGGGAAAAUGGAACAGAGAACUUUCUGUAACCAAGAUAUAUAAGGGUAAAAGGGGCAGGUAAGGCCCAGUGGAGAGGACACAACUGGGGUCAAUUAACAUGGUACUGCAAAGCACUAUGGGGGAAGCCUUUUUCCCAUCAUAUGUUGUGUGCCCUUCUAGGGCACAGCUAUUGAUCUUUCCCUGGUAGGCUCAUGGUCCUCCAGAGAUGUUGUGAAACAGUGAUUUACACAACUUGCACACCUGCAGCAAGGAGAUCUGGGACUCUUGAGAUCACAAUUUAUUUAAGGAUUUUUAUCUAUUUAAGGAUAUGAAGAUUUUGUAUAUUUAAAGAUAUGAGGACUUCAGGAUUGUAUAAUUUACUGGCAUGAAUCACAAAUGCAAACAAAGACAAAUUUUUUCUGCUGUUAGUUGGUUUCCUCACUGUUCUAAAGUUGAAUUGUUUCCUUUUUGUAGAGUUAAGUUGUAAAAUUGUAACUUUUAAGUAAUAAGAGAGCGACAUGGCAUUUUGAGAAUUUGUAUCACAGGUAAUCCCAUUGGACAGUUCCCGGACAUAAAUGUUACCUCUUCAAUGAUACGUGGGAUACAGCAGUGACUGAGAUAGGCCAGGUAAUAUUCCGUUAUGCAAAGGUGCAGAUUACAACAGCCUUAAAAACUCAGGGGAGAUCCUGUGAACACUAGCUGACCUGUUUUAAGAUCAUUGUCUACUUUUUGCUAGUGUAACAUCAGAGUGUAGAAAGAAAGAGUCACAAUCAAGGCUCUAGUUUGGACAGGAAAGCACAGUUGAAGAGUAAAUGGAGAAAAAGCAAAAUGCAGGAAUGUGGCUGGCUCAACAGCACUAGCUGCAGUUAUUAAAGAGAUUAAGCUCUAAUCCUUAAGAGGAGGAAGAGAAGAGACAUCUGGAGUGGAAGAAUUUACUUUCUUCAAUCACUGGGAACUACAGACUAAUGUAAGUCUUAUAGAUCUGUUUAUCAUGUCACCUUAAACUUUUUUGGCUGUAUCUGCCAAAGGAAGAAUCUCCAGUAUUGAGGAAGUUUAACUCACCCAAUGUCUUUUACUAUCUUAAUUUUCUCUUCUUUUUAUUUCUCUUCUUAUUUUUCAAAUUCUAUAUGGGCUGUGGUUCUUGUAAUAGACAAAUGGCUGACCAAACAGUAUUGUCUGUGAAGUUAUUGUCCUGUAGAUACAGGACAAUGCAAACAAGAUGGUAUCAGUUGGCAAUAAACAAAUAAUAUUCUAACACAAAUGACAUGGAUAAUUUGAUUGCUGAAGACUAUGGACUCUUGAUGCAUUAAUUCCAAAAAUCAGCCAUGCAUUUUUAAUAACCUGCUGUUUUGGGAGGUUCAGCUAUAGAAGACCCAGACUAAAUAAUCCCAUCAGAUGCUAGGUUCAUAGUUUCCAGAUUGCCUCUGUCCAUCCAAAUGAGUUUAGUAGAAGAAUUGCAUGACAAAACUUUACUGCAUAGUUGUUUUCUCAGCUGUCCUGAUUCCUCUGGCCACAAAUGGUCUUCCUGUAGCCUUCCUGAUUGUUCAUUAUUAGGUAUUCUCCUGUAAUUGCCUCUGAUGCAGUUUUAGAUUACUAUCCAUGCUCCUGUGUACUUAGCAACUCCCAGGGCUGGACCUGGUACCCUGAACAUGUGACUCUCUUUUUAUGGUACUUUGGUGAGGAUAGAACUAUCUUCUGGUUGAUUCUCAUCUGGUAUAAUUAGGAAAGGUCUAAUCCUUGAAUUACCAGUUUAGCACUCUCUCGGGAUCUGAUUCAAGGAAGGAAUUGAAACACACAGAUGUGAAUAUCUUAGGUUAAGUGCACAGAAAAGAUUUUACAUUGAACAGAAGGAGAUGCCACCUUCUCUUCAAACAGCUCAGUUUUCAGCUACAUGUUGGCUUAUACUGGUUUUGUCUUCAUACCAGCUUGGAUGAGAGCAACACAUAGCAAAUGCCCUAAUGUACCAAUUUAUUUCAAUGCUAAUAUGAGAUGAGAAUUGUGGCAGAAAUGUCAAGUUUAGCUUCACGCUUUUCAAAUUUUUUAUUCAUAAGAAAGUAUAUAGAAAAACUGUUUCUGUAAUAAUGUUAUCACAUAUAUUUUAAAUUAUUAAAUAAUUUAAUGUAAGUUGCAAAUUAUUACAUUUACCUUUUAUUUGCAUUUUAUUUUCUUAAUAUUUUUGUAGCUCCAAAGUUGCAAGAAAAAAAAAGGUCUUAUUAAAUAGUUUAACAUUAAGAUUUCAGUAGAUACUACACCUAAUUUAUGAAAAUGACAAAAUGGAUCCAAGGUAUCUGGUGAUCACUAAGUCAUGAAAAAUUGCUUUGAAGAUUAAUGAUAUGCAGAAUGAACAAGAACAGGCAUAGCACAGAUCCCACUGACAAUCCACUUGUCACCCUUCUGAUACCUCUGUGUCCAUAUACCACUUUUCUUAGGCAGUCAGUGACAUCAUUAGGUAAAUUUAUUAUCCAAUUUAGAAUGUUAACAUCAAUAAUGCAGUGACUCUCUAAACUUUUGUAGAUUUUUAUUAUCUCAUUACUUACUUACUUUGUAACCUUUAAUGCCAGUAUUAAGGAAAAUAUUCCUCAAAUCCAGGUAGCAAUCAAUUUUUGUCUGCUUUGACUUUCACUAAAAUUUCCUUGCAUGAAGUAGGUAAAAUAUUUUCUAACAUGUGUAGCUACUAAUCAGCCCAAACACUGUACCAUUUUUUCUUACUAGAGUAAAAAAGUGUCUUGAAUUUUGUUUCACAUAUGCAGUUUUGUAAAAAUUUCUAUUUUUACAGCUUUGGUCAGACCUUGAGUUGGUAUAAGAUACUAUAGCUCACAGAAGCUCUGCAAAUUCACACUUGGUAAAAAUAUGCUUUAUUUCUUAAAUAUGGAUGAGGUUUUGAUUUAUUUCCAAGCUUACCAUUUGUAAAGAUAACAAAAACAGGAGAUAAUUUCUCUGAAGUAUCUCAAUUUUCAAAUGAACACUUAACAAAUGAAAACGGAUAUGAAAUGCAGAUCUUAACUUUCUUCAGUUUCUCAAAUCUUGCUAUAUUUAGGUUGUAAUUUUCUAUUUUCCUUUAGAAUUCUGAAAAAUAGAAUUCCUUAUUGAAACUUCUGAUUAUGAAUUUUGCAUGUUAGCUGGAUAAAUUAUCUCUGCUUCCAUAAUCUUUGCAUCCUUUGCUUUUUAUCUUGUUAAAUAUAAGGUAUUUCAAGUCUAGAAAAUGCACCAAACUCUAACUAAUCAUUCAGCAAAGGGCAGCCAAUAAAAUUUUAGUGUCAAAGUAAUAUUUAUCCUUAUUAGAGAAAAAAUCCACAUUAUAAUCUGUCUCUAACAUAGUAAGUGCUGAAUGGCUUGAAAAUAAUUUUUUUUUUCUUUAACACAAUGCAUGUUUACAAGUUCCCAAAAUGAAGUCUACAUUAAAAGAAAAGAGCUGUAGAAGUGUUUAGGGAUAUUUUUGUUAGCCAUAUUUAAAUAUUCAAAUAGCAAAGUUAAAAUUUAGCUAUAACUGUCCCAUUCUGAUUAAACUACUUGCUGUAUUUUUACAUUGUGGUCAGCAUUCCAUAUAAGAUUUUUGCAUUCAUUAAUCACAUAGAAUAGUUCUUCAGGCAAAUUGCUGCUGGGAAAUGAAAAAGAUGGAAUGGGAAAAAGAAGAGAAGCGAUGGUGAAAUGAAGUCUGCAAAUUCCUGUUUUUCUCAAUUCUGAACUCCUAAUUUCUGUAAGAAUUUUACUGAUGAGAUACAAUUUAUUUUGUUCAUCUUUCCUUGCACUCAUUAAUAGAAAGAUGUGCUGGUUUUGAGGCCAUGUAUGUAUUUGCACUCCAGAGUUUUAUUUAUUACAGUUUCUCUAAUGAGCUUUCAUUGAAAGGAGUUUCAACAUUUUCAUUAACAGUAUGUGGAAAUUCUUCAUACCACAAUUAUAUUAGGUAUUAUCAAGUUGCCUUAAACACUUGCAGCUGGCAUAAUGACUCCAUUCUUUUGCUGUUGUUUCUUGGUCUUGCUUUGCAAAUGGCACUGUAGGAUGUGUUUUGUGUUUCCAUGAGAGUUGGAGAGCUGGGUAUAGUGAGUUUUUUCACACCUGGAGAGAUAAGGACUGAAUGGUGACAUUCUGCCUAUUGAGGCAAUGACAAGAGCCUUGUUUCCAUUCUUCAAGAUAAAGAAAGUGGUGCUAUCAGAGAAAAAAAAGUGCAAUAGCAAUGCUCACUCUUUUGGGGGAAAAUCUUGGAAAGCCAAUUGUUACCAUUGGUCCUGAAGCUUAUUUUGAGUGUAUACUCAUAUAUGCCCUAUGCUGGGUUAAUUGAGAAAUGGCUCUAUCCUUCCUAAGGUUAUCAAACUAUAUCUUUCUUUCCUUUGAUUUGGAUUAGAAAUACUUUCACACAGGGCAAUCUUGGUAUCUGCAUAAUUUACUAAAAACUAAGAAGAAGAAAACAGAAACACAAGAAUUGGAGUCUGCCUGUUUUGACUAAUAAAGCCUAUAAAACUCUUCUACAGAGUGUUGAGUAACAUUGAGCUGACUUUUCUGUGAAUUUUCCUCUCUAAUAAUAUGAUUUUCCUUCCAAGCAAAACAGGGAAACGUAGAAUAAGCCAGUCUGAAAGGGAGCAUUGGACGAUACCUAAUUCCUAAUUCUCCUCCAAGUAGAAUUAGCUUCAAGGAUUGGUCAGGUUACUUAGCACAUAGUCUUAUAUGUUUUAAAGGAUCUAUGAAGAUAGCCUUUUGCGGAGGUAUGAACUUGGCCACUCACAUUGUGAAAAUGUUGUUUUUCUUCCAUCUAGUUGAAAUUUUACAUGUUCUGACUUGUUACUGAUGCCUCUCCUCCUCUCCCUGUGCAUGCCUGAGAAGCAUUUGAUGACCUUCCUUAUAACUCCCCUUAAGAAACAGAAGGCUGCAAUAAAAUUCCCCUUCAACAUCUGCUCCAGGAUGAACAGGCAGAUGUGUUUCCUCUGUGUCUCCUCAGGAAUAAUGUAGUCCAGCUCUCUAACCAUUCUACCAGCCAUCUGCUGAGCUCUCUUAUUUGUGGCAGUGGGGAAUCUACAGCACUAUGUCAAAUGUGGUCUCUCUAGUGGAUUAGAGUGGAGUAAUUACUUUUCUUAAGCUGUUAUGUGCUUUUCCUAAUGCAGGUCAGGAUGUUAUUGUAAGGCAGCACUACAAACUCACAGUGAGCCAAUAGGAUAACUGGGUUCCUUUUAAAAAAAAAAUACAACCCCAGUUAUUUGGUCCUCAGCUGUACGCAGAGUUAAAAACAAGUCAGACCAGUCAGACCUCUUUAGUUUCACUGCCAAAGAAAAGCUCUUCAAUUACCCGUUAAUGGCCGGUUGUCCAUUGUCCCCCUGAUGCUGGCCGCUUGCCAGGGAGGGACACGGGGACAGACCCUCGAGGUAUGAGGAGAAUAGGAGUGACAUCAGAGCCAGUAUGCAGAUGAGAAAUACAUUGCGCCCUGAAUUUUUACAGUUUUACAGUUUUUACAGGAAAAACCCCUAAAAUUACGAGCCAACAAGUGACCUAAGUGACGUCUAAGGAUGGGAGCGUAGUCCCGUACCUGCUUGGAUCCUUUUUUGCUUCUCACCCUAACCUGAAAAGAUGCUGAUUAAAGAGACGCCCCGGGGUGUUAAACAAACA